rnacentral:lncRNA from 1 species
GCAUGAUGGGAGCUGGGGGAGGCUACAGGUCCUGGCCCCAGGGAGACAGGAUGCACAGAAAGGGCGUGUGAACUGUAGGUGAAACCAGUGGCCCUGGUUUAGGGUUAACACUUGAAGAUGAGAAAAUUUGAUCUCUGAACUCUGAAGGGGCUGAAGUGGUUUUAGUUACAUCAAGUGAUGAAAAACACCCCUUAAAAUAUCAUUGGUGGGAAUCCAGAAACAUUUUGGACCACCAUAGGAAUGUUCCCCCAGGAGUUCAUCAUAUGUUUUCACAUAUAAUAGAGCUUAUAAUACAAAGUUACUUAGCGUGGACCUUGAAGAUUGAAAAGAGCACAUCUAAAGAGCCUGUCAGUUUUGAGCAGUGGAUUGAAAAAGAUUUUGUACACACAGAGGGGCAACUUCAAAAUGAAGAAAUUGUGGCUCAUGAUGGCCAAACUUGAGAUUCAUAAUUACAUCAGUCAUUUUAUAUCUGUACAUAGUAUUUCUGCAAAGAGAAUAGUAGUCUCAAAGUCAUUCUUAGUAAUUAUAAUAAAAUGUCUUGCAUAGUCUUUAAUAAUAUAUUUAAACAUGAAGUUGACAUUGAUGUAUUUUAGCAAAAGGAUUUAUAUCCAAAAAAAAACUAGGCAUGAUGAUAACAUGCUGUAAUCCCAGUGGCUUAGGAGGCUAAGGCAGGAGUAUCACAAGUUCAAGGUCUAUUCUUGGCAAUUUAGGAAGGCCCUAUCUCAAAAUUUAAAGAAAAGUGUGUGGUGGGGGGGACUGAAGAUGUAGCUCAGAGGUAGAGUGUUCCUGGGUUCAAUCCCAGUACUCCUGCGGAGGCUGGAAAUGUAGCUCAGUGGUAGAGUGCUUACCUAGCAUGUGUGGGGCCCUGAGUUCAAGGUCUGAUACUAUUUUUUUUUUUAAUUUUUUUUUUGAGAC